GAUGAACGCUGGCGGCGUGCCUAAUACAUGCAAGUCGAGCGAACAGACGAGGAGCUUGCUCCUCUGACGUUAGCGGCGGACGGGUGAGUCACACGUGGAUAACCUACCUAUAAGACUGGGAUAACUUCGGGAAACCGGAGCUAAUACCGGAUAAUAUAUUGAACCGCAUGGUUCAAUAGUGAAAGACGGUUUUGCUGUCACUUAUAGAUGGAUCCGCGCCGCAUUAGCUAGUUGGUAAGGUAACGGCUUACCAAGGCGACGAUGCGUAGCCGACCUGAGAGGGUGAUCGGCCACACUGGAACUGAGACACGGUCCAGACUCCUACGGGAGGCAGCAGUAGGGAAUCUUCCGCAAUGGGCGAAAGCCUGACGGAGCAACGCCGCGUGAGUGAUGAAGGUCUUCGGAUCGUAAAACUCUGUUAUUAGGGAAGAACAAAUGUGUAAGUAACUAUGCACGUCUUGACGGUACCUAAUCAGAAAGCCACGGCUAACUACGUG
rnacentral:rRNA from 1 species